CCCCGUACUUAGUCUGGACUGGUGAGUGGAGAAGAACAGUAGAAAAGGUGAAAGGCAAUCUCAAUAAAUAUCAAUGAAAGACUGCACCCAACAGGAUGGCAACAAACAAUGUGCAAAACAAAAACAACAAACUGUGAAAAUACAAAAAGGAAGAAAAGAAAAAUAUGAAAUUAUCAUAAUACUAAUAGCAUUAAAUAAACAAUAAAUAUUGAGAACAUGAGACGAAGAGUCCUUGAAGCUUACAACAACAAAUUCAUUUGAGAUUGCUGAUAAACACAAUGGACAAUGACAGUGCCUAAAUCAAUAUUGGCAAGGUGUGAGAUCAGACACUCUCACAUUACAGAUGAAGAGGAUUAAAU